rnacentral:tRNA from 1 species
AGGGAUGUAGUUAACUAUAACAUUUGAUUUGCAUUCAAAAAGUGUCUUUUUAGACCCUCCUUG